GGUUAUGGCCAUACCACACUGACAAUGCCCGAUCUCGUCUGAUCUCGGAAGCUAAGCAGAGUUGAGCUGGGUCAGUACUUGGAUAGGUGACCGCCUGGGAAUGCUCGGUGCUGUAAGCA
ensembl:rRNA 5S_rRNA 5S ribosomal RNA